rnacentral:rRNA from 1 species
UACGUAGGGUGCAAGCGUUAAUCGGAAUUACUGGGCGUAAAGCGUGCGCAGGCGUCUUGCAAGACAGAUGUGAAAUCCCCGGGCUCAACCUGGGAACUGCAUUUGUGACUGCAAGGCUGGAGUGCGGCAGAGGGGAUGGAAUUCCGCGUGUAGCAGUGAAAUGCGUAGAUAUGCGGAGGAACACCGAUGGCGAAGGCAAUCCCCUGGGCCUGCACUGACGCUCAUGCACGAAAGCGUGGGGAGCAAACAGG